AUUGAACGCUGGCGGCAGGCCUAACACAUGCAAGUCGAAUGGUAACAGGAAACAGCUUGCUGUUUCGCUGACGAGUGGCGGACGGGUGAGUAAUGUCCGGGAAACUGUCUGAUGGCGGGGGAUAACUCCUGGAAACGGUUACUAAUACCGCACAACGUAGCAAGACCAAAGAGGGGGACCUUCGGGCCUCUUGCCCUCAGAUGUGCCCAGAUGGGAUUAGCUAGUAGGUGGGGUAACGGCUCACCCAGGCGACGAUCCCUAGCUGGUCUGAGAGGAUGACCAGCCACACUGGAACUGAGACACGGUCCAGACUCCUACGGGAGGCAGCAGUGGGGAAUAUUGCACAAUGGGCGCAAGCCUGAUGCAGCCAUGCCGCGUGUAUGAAGAAGGCCUUCGGGUUGUAAAGUACUUUCAGCGGGGAGGAGGGGAGUAAAGUUAAUACCUUUGCUCAUUGACAGUACCCGCAGAAGAAGCACCGGCUAACUCCGUG
rnacentral:rRNA from 1 species